rnacentral:rRNA from 1 species
UGCCUGUUUACCAAAAACAUCACCUCUAGCAUAUCUAGUAUUAGAGGCACUGCCUGCCCAGUGACAUAUAUUUCAACGGCCGCGGUAUCCUAACCGUGCAAAGGUAGCGUAAUCACUUGUUCCCUAAAUAGGGACCUGUAUGAAUGGCCACACGAGGGUUUUACUGUCUCUUACUUUCAAUCAGUGAAAUUGACCUUCCCGU